AACGAACGCUGGCGGCAUGCCUAACACAUGCAAGUCGAACGAGACCUUCGGGUCUAGUGGCGCACGGGUGCGUAACACGUGGGAAUUUGCCUCGGGGUAUGGAAUAAACUCAGGGAAACUUGAGCUAAUACCAUAUAAUGUCUUCGGACCAAAGAUUUAUCGCCCUGAGAUAAGCCCGCGUAGGAUUAGCUAGUUGGUGGGUAAAGGCUCACCAAGGCGACGAUCCUUAGCUGGUCUGAGAGGAUGAUCAGCCACACUGGGACUGAGACACGGCCCAGACUCCUACGGGAGGCAGCAGUGGGGAAUAUUGGACAAAUGGGGCGAAAGCCUGAUCCAGCAAUGCCGCGUGAGUGAUGAAGG
rnacentral:rRNA from 1 species